GUUGAACGCUGGCGGCAUGCUUUACACAUGCAAGUCGAACGGUAACAGGCCGCAAGGUGCUGACGAGUGGCGAACGGGUGAGUAAUGCAUCGGAACGUGCCCAGUCGUGGGGGAUAACGCAGCGAAAGCUGUGCUAAUACCGCAUACGAUCUAUGGAUGAAAGCGGGGGACCGUAAGGCCUCGCGCGAUUGGAGCGGCCGAUGUCAGAUUAGGUAGUUGGUGGGGUAAAGGCCUACCAAGCCGACGAUCUGUAGCUGGUCUGAGAGGACGACCAGCCAAACUGGGACUGAGACACGGCCCAGACUCCUACGGGAGGCAGCAGUGGGGAAUUUUGGACAAUGGGCGCAAGCCUGAUCCAGCAAUGCCGCGUGCAGGAAGAAGGCCUUCGGGUUGCAAACUGCUUUUGUACGGAACGAAACGGCCUGGGUUAAUACCCUGGGCUAAUGACGGUACCGUAAGAAUAAGCACCGGCUAACUACGUGCCAGCAGCCGCCGUAAGAC
rnacentral:rRNA from 1 species